CUUAAAUCCUCAAAGGCCCAGGAAGGAGGUGGGCGGGCCAGGCCUCGGCGGAACUGACCUCGAGGGACCUGUCGGGAGUCUCCGGGUGAUCUCUGCACAUGAGGCUUCCCUGUGCCUUCUGCCAUGAAUGGAAGCAGCCGAAGGCCACACCAGAAGCCGAGGAGCAGAUGUCAGCACCACUCUUCUUGUACAGCCUGCAGAACAGCAAGCCAAAUAAACGUAUUUUCUUAUAAA